AUUAUACUCCCUCCGUCCAGAAAUACUUGUCAUUAGAAUGGAUAAAAAGGGAUGUAUCUACAACUAAAAUACAUCUAGAUAUCCCCUUUUAUUCAUCUUGAUGACUAGUAUUUCUAGACGGAGGGAGUAUUAA
rfam:Triticum urartu cultivar G1812 contig514601, whole genome shotgun sequence.